rnacentral:rRNA from 1 species
GAUGAACGCUGGCGGCAUGCCUAAGACAUGCAAGUCGUACGAAGUGGCCCAUUGAUGAUUGAGUGCUUGCACAAGAUUUGAUUUGGAUUCCCACUUAGUGGCGCAAGGGUGAGUAACGCGUAGGUUAUCUGCCUUCGAGUUUGGAAUAACAAUUAGAAAUGAUUGCUAAUGCCGGAUUAUAUUUAAGAUGAUACGUUGUCUUAAAUUAAAAAGGAGCCUUUAAAAGCUUCGCUUGAAGAUGAGCCUGCGUCGUAUUAGCUAGUUGGUGGGUAAUGGCUACCAAGGCAACGAUGCGUAGCCGACCUGAGAGGUGAUCGGCCACACUGGGACUGAGACACGGCCCAGACU